rnacentral:other from 1 species
AGAGUCCUGAAGUGUUCGUCUUAAUACCUGAUGUUUUGACCAACAUUAAUUCUUCGGGAGUCCAUGUUUCCCAAUUGCGUAAAUGCCUCCUUCACGAGGACUUACAAGAGUUUGGAACAGGGCACCCACCUGCUGAGUGCGGGAUCAAAACGAAGGAUGCCAACGGACGGCACCAUUGGGGCUCUU